rnacentral:tRNA from 2 species
GAGGCUUUAGCUUAAUUUAAAGUGCUUGAGUUGCAUUCAGGAGAUGUGAGAUAAAAUCUUGCAAGUCUUA